UGUUCUGGCAAUGGGCAAAGAGACACCUUGUUGGUGGUGGUGUUUUUAUAUCAGUCAGGGGCAAAUCAGAUGGCAGUACUUUGUUCAUCCUAGCUUGAUGCCUGGCUUGAUGGUCAAAGCUGUUUUAUGCCUAGGACUCAUAA
ensembl:snoRNA Gm24780 predicted gene, 24780